AUCACCAUUCGCGUAACGCUAGUAAACUCGCAAACGAACUACUGACUGAAGUAUACACAUAUUUCAUUUCCCAGCUGUAAGAGAAAGAAAGAAAAAUGUGCGCGCGCACUGCUGACGCUUGUCUACUAAUUACCGUUCGCCUCGCCUGAUCACACUUUUCGUAACGCGUUCAUCAGCUUACUCCCCAAGCCAAGCGCGCGUAAAGAAGUUUCACUUCAAUUGGCAAUGCCAAAAUCAAAGGGAAAACGGAAAAGGAGAAACAAAAGGAGAACAGCUGAGUGAUCAAAACAAAACGGCAAUGCAAAAAUAUUAGCACACGUUUUGUUAGGAUUGCUGUUUUCAGGGGAAAAAUAAUAUGUUUUCAACAAAAUAAACGCGGUUUCCGUUUGGAUCGUUAAAGUUUCCAAAAGCCGAAGGAAAAGGAUCAACUAUAAUUGUUGUUAAACCUGGAUGUUUCGAAAAUUCCCCAGGACGGCACAAAAACUCAACCACCUCAUUUGAAUUCACAAACUUGCGUAUUUAAGAAAUUACGUGUCUAGUUGUUUGUCCGCGAUGGACCUCUAAACUACUGAACCGAUUUUAUCAAAAUUUCACUCACU